GAAUAGUGGGUCUCUUUGUGGCCAGAGAAAAUCUUGGCACGCCUGCCAGUUGGAAUUCUGGGUAGUGACGUGUCAGUUGGUUUUCCAACUGCCAGCAGACUCCUGGCACUUUCUGGCCUAGGAGAAGGCUGGUGUUUUCUGUUCCCUGGAACAGAACACUGAACACUGAAGCAACCCAGUGGCAGGAUACCAUUACCAUAUUUGAAAACCAAAUGGGUUAUCUCCUGGACUCCUUGUCACUUCUCACGUUGGCCAAAGGCCAGGCAGUGCUGGAUUUGUACAGUGGACGUGUUCUGCAGAGCCCUAUUCUCUCUGUCCUCUGAUUUUGAGUACCUGGAUUUACCUCCUCACCACAAGAAAGCACUGGAGGAGAAAUGUAGUGGAAGACCAAAGAAUAUGCCUAAAUUUUUAAAGAAGUCAUUAUGGAAAAUAUAAUUCUGGACUUUAAGACCUUUUUAUACAGUGGUAGCUAUAAUAAGUACAGUGAGAAUUUUUAAAAAACUUAAUAUAUGAUAAUAGAUGUAAUACAACAACAAAAUAGACAAUUACUAUUAUUAGGAUGUUUAGAUAACUUUAGAAUUAA
rnacentral:lncRNA from 1 species